rnacentral:rRNA from 1 species
UACGGAGGGAGCUAGCGUUAUUCGGAAUUACUGGGCGUAAAGCGCACGUAGGCGGCUUUGUAAGUAAGAGGUGAAAGCCUGGAGCUCAACUCCAGAAUUGCCUUUUAGACUGCAUCGCUUGAAUCAUGGAGAGGUGAGUGGAAUUCCGAGUGUAGAGGUGAAAUUCGUAGAUAUUCGGAAGAACACCAGUGGCGAAGGCGGCUCACUGGACAUGUAUUGACGCUGAGGUGCGAAAAGCGUGGGGGAGCAAACAGG